CGUUCAUCUGCUGCGGACAGAUGUAAUGGAUGUGAUUAUCAAUCCCGCCUGCAGUAAUGAUCAUACCUUCCCCUGCAAUUACUUCCGUAACCGUUCCUGCAAUCAUAUCCGGGUGCACACCCGGCAUGAUAUGUGGAUUGCCGCUUUUACCGAUUGCCUUAAUGUGUCCGUUCUUAAUACCGAUGUCAGCUUUAUAAAUACCUGUAUAAUCAAUGAUCAAUGCAUUGGUAAUAAGUAAGUCUAAUACAUCAUCCGAUUUAUAGCCGGAAGCCUGUCCCAUGCCGUCGCG
rnacentral:sRNA from 1 species